CGUCAAUAAAAAAAAUAAGAGCAUGUGCAUCAUUAACAAUUGGCAGUAGAGAAAAAAAAUACAGAUAUUAUUUUUGUCAGCAACAUGUUCAAUGGAACAAACAAAUCCUAAGCAAAACUAUUGGCAGGACUAUAUAAAGUUACUCCAAUAAGAAGCAAAACUGUGAAGGCAAAGAAAAAGCUUUCCAAGAAAAAAUAAAUAAAUCAACUAGAAUUCAAAUAUGGUUGAAAGUCUGAUUGGUGGAAUAUAACUCAUUAGUUCACACACCACAAAGUAGCUAAUCUAGAAUUGGUUCUUGGAGCAGAAACACCUGAUACUAAAACUAAACUACAUUGAUUGUGUGAUUGUCUACAAAGAAGCCAUCACAGACAUGCAUAAAUCACACUGCAUUCAUGAACAAUAUGUCAUCGUGGAAGAAGGCAUACCAGGGUACUGAAUUAGAGCUUGUG
rnacentral:misc_RNA from 1 species